UAAUAUGCUGAUUUCCUGACUUGUAGGA
rnacentral:piRNA from 1 species